UGGAGCUAUCCACCAAUGCUUAUUCAUUGGUAGAUCACUGAUGCUGCCUCUGGAGAUUUUAAUACGCUUUAAUAAAUCACAAUCUUCUCAUCAAACGAUUUGUAAGAUUAAUACGUUAUUCUAUUGCUGUUCAUUAGUUCAUUUGUUGUGGAACAGCAAUGUUCAUCAGUAAAAAACAAUUUAUUCAUCAGUUGUUUAAUAAAAGGUUUGUUAAAUGUACCAAUUACAAAUCUUUAUAAUAAAGCUUUUCAUUUCUCGCUUUUAUAUUUGUUUAAUACGAAAAUUCAGUAUUAAUUAGUAAUUAUAAUUAUCAUGUUAUAAUAUGGAUAUGUAGUUAACUCUGUUACAAAGCAACAUCUUCGUUACUUUUAAUGAUAUGCAAAAAUGCCAAAGGAUUAAACUGUUUAGUUCGAAGAAUGUUAAGGUAAACAAAAAUUUUCUCAAGGUUAUAUUUUUUGGGACUUUAAUCUCAUCAAUGUUUCCCUCAAUGGGAUUACAUAUUUCUAUCAUCAUCGCGUAAUAGCUGAAAUUGAAAUCUUAUACAUGACCUUAUAAUAUGACCUUCACGUAACGGUGAAUAUACAAAAUUCAGAAAUAUAUUAAUCCAUUAUUGCGUAUUGCUAUUAAGCUUCGUAUCAAAGCGGUUAUUAGCGAAAAGAACAUAACAUAAUCACGUUUACAUUCGGUAUAAAUGAACGUUACUGAUGCUAAAUUAUGGCAACCUUAGGAUCAGAGGUUAGUCAAUUUUCGGUAUUGUGCACAUUCGUUUGAACAAGUUUCGAGUAAAGUUGGAUAUAUGUAACGUUAGUACUAGACGAAUGCCAACUAUACCUAAAAAAAUAUCUAGACAUACGUGGAGAAAUCAGCGAAAUCACACAUAGCAUUUAAGCGUACGGAGAAACAUCUUUGGCGACACGGCUCUUGCAAACUAUCAAAAUAAAAAAGAACAUGCCCGGUAAUAAAUAACAUUAAUAAUGCUAUUAAGGUUUGACAGCAAUUACUGUAAAUCUACACUUAUCUACUAAAGAAAUAAAUAGGGAUAAUGGCGUCAGUAAAUCUUCAAUUCCAAGGUUUUUAUUUUACUUAGUAAUAGGAUACAUCCAUAUCACAUUCCAUUACAGCAAGAAAUAACAAAAAGUGACUUUAUCCAGAGAAUAAAUUGUUGUAGUUGAAUGAUAGAGAAAUUAGCUCAGGAUAGUACAUUCUUGUCAGGAAUAUUCUUCUCGGACGAACGAAUCGUCACAAUACAGAAUUAUGCACUUAACUCGAAACCCACGCUCGCGAAAAUAUAUGAGAAUGGCAACAGUGUAACAUAUACGCUUACUGCUACAAUGAAAUGUCACUCGCCAUCGAUGAGCUAAAAGUAUAAUUUUAGCGAGAACACAGAGCGGUUUGGUUGCCGUCGAAGGACUUCAAAUUUGAUGUCACGAUAAAAGAAAGACGAUUGUUGAGAAAGCGAGCCUCGCGCUUUCGCCCGACGAUUUCAUGUUCCUACGAGCACCUGAAACUUCGUAGCAAAUAACAAGUUUUUAAAUAACCUUAUCUUGUAUUAUGCUUAUCUAAAACGUAAUUACUAUGUAAUUUUUUCUUAAUUUAAGAUUGCAUUCCAUUUUUUUUUCGCGAGCAGUUAUUGGGGAAUUACAACGAAAUUGUUCAUAUUCUUACAGAUAUCGAGACCUUUUCUCUAUUUCGUUCGGCAAUUUUCAUUUUUAAUGCAUUACAUUUUUGUUUCUACGUCGUACUCCAAAAUUUAUUAACGAUCAUUUUCUAUAAAUUAAUAUUACUAUUACUUGAUUUUGGAUCGCUCUGCUGUGAACAUGUCGAACGUAAGAACAAAGAACAAGAAAAGCAAUUGAGAUACGAUGAAACACCUCACAGAAUUCCUUUUCACACAAGCCAGUUUAACAAAAUGGAAAUUAAUUUAACUCUCGUAUUGCAAUGCCUGAAUCCCUUUUAUGAGCAUUAUUAAAGAGAAGACUUUUUCAACAAAGUUCUCAAAACACGUGAAGAUAUAAGCUUGUGCUUCUGUAACAGUAAAAAUUCUCGCGAAUGGGCAAUGCUUAUUUCGCAAUCAAAUUAGCAAGUGGAUAGAAAUUAACGAAAAUAAUUUUGAACACUUGUUACGAUAAACAUUCCUUCGGUAAUCUCUGUAUUGUAGUUGUUUGUUAUUCGCAUCUAUUAGCAAACAUUUUUUAAUUUUUCGUAUUCAGGGCCACAUUACGGUCAUAGUGUUAUAGGUCAUUGAAUUGGUUUUCGGUCUCAAUGAUGGAAAUGUGUAGUCUCGUUAAAAGAGAACACUGAUGGGAUUGUAAUCUCGAAGCAUAUGACUUUGAGAAUAUCGUUUACUUAUUGUAACAUUUCUCGAAUUGAACGGUUUAUUCCUUUGGCAUUUUUGAAUAUUAUUAAAAGUAACGGAGAUAUAAAAUGUAAAUAAUAAAAUAUAAAAAUAUAUAUAAAAAAGGCAAGUUUAUAAUUUAAAAUAUUUGAUAUUUUAAUAAAAUAGAUAUUUCACCCAUAUAUGUAUAAUGUAAUACGAUCACGUAGAUGAUGAGGUGGUAGUUGGUAAGGUGCCCACAAGAAAUACUCUUGAUGUUCAUCAAAAAGGGUUUAAUAAACUAUUAACAGUCAACAGUCAACAAUUUACGAUCAACAAUUAACGAUUAACAAUCGAGAGUUAAUAAUCGCGUAUCUCGAAUUGUGUUUGCUUCGCUAUGACGCUAAACUUUUCGUACUUCGCAGCUCGGGACAGAAUGAGUCUUUUGUUCGAAGCCAAACAGAUUCUUUUCUUUGUUGCCCCUCCAUAUCCCCACUGCGCACGCGUUUAUUAGAUGUCCGCAACGGUGUUGCCGCGUAUGCAUUCUUCCGAAUAUUCGACGAAAGAACCGUAGGGAUAUCGAUGGUACAUUAGGCAUGUCGGCCUUACGCUUUGAAGAUUUAUGUCAGUUACAUACAUGCUGAAAAUUUCAUCGUAAUCGGUUAACGUUGCUAUUGUCACGACCGGCAUACUUCAAAUCCGACGGACUGACGAUAGAGAUAAAGAUGUGGCGGCACUCGGCGACAAUGUAUAUCGUUGAAGUGCCUAAUGAACCAUCAACAUCCCAACGGUCCUUCCACCGAAGGUUCUAGAAGAAAGAGCACGUGGCAACGAUCGCGGACGCCUAGCAAAUGCAUGGACGGUGGGGAUGUUGAGGGAUCAACAAAAGAAAGUAAUCGGAUCCGAUCGAAAGUGAGUAACAUUGAAAUUUAUUCUGGACAUCUCGUUGAUCACGUCGGAUUGAAAUAACUAAGACAUAACUAAAGGAAUGCUAAAGGCAAAAUACGAAAAGUUCAGAAUUAUGAACAUAGUGUACAGUUAAAAUGUUCUGCAGCAGUAAUCGAUAAUUAUGUGAAAGUAAUAGUUAAGAAAUUUAUUUCAUUCGAUAUCUAAGACCAAAUAACAAUACUUCUUAAAUUAUAGCAGCGAUAUCGAAUAUGAAAUUGUUUUCAAUUCAAUUACCAACUAAAAUUAUAGUAAAAUAAAUAUAGAUAAUAAUAAUAAAGAAAUAUAGAGAUACAAAAUAUAUGUAAUAAAAAAGUCUUGGCUGAUUUUGUGUACUAUCCGAUGAAUUUGUUCUGUUGGAUGUCGCUUCCGAAAACCAGAUUGAUAAUCUGACGUUAUUUUCGAAUCCUCGAAAAAAGAAUGAAGUCGUCCGAUUUGCAUAUUCUGAAAGAGUUUGGAUAAAUUUGACGGAAGAGCGAUUGGUCAAUUUGAAUUUGCUGGAUGGAUUGGCUUCCUUGGAUUAAGAAUAAGAGUAAUAAGUGAUAAUUUCUAAAGCUUUGAAUAAUAUUUAAGGCGAAGGACUGCGUUAAAUAUGAUAAUAAAUAUGACAAGUCCUUGAGGGGAUGUCCUGAAUUAGAAUGUUCUAAAAUAGCGUCUUUUUGUGAUAUUUGUUAGAAGGGAAAGAAAGAAACAAAGUUGUUGAAUUUCGAGGUAUGGUUUUCUAUAUAUUUAACGAGUACAAAAAGUUUUGUUAAGUAAAAAGAAAAAUUAUAAUAGAUUCCUAAGCCUAUUUCAUGGGCUGCAGUUUUCAAUCGGCGUGAAAGAUCCACCUUGUAAUCCUUGACUGAAACGAAAAACCAAAAAAGGAUUAAAUUAUUCUAUAUAUAUUUUUCUUCUCGAUGAACUAAAAAAGUUCGUCAAGAAGUUUAUUUAAAUAAUCAUUAUAGCACCUUAAAGUCUAUUUUUUCUUUUUAAAGAACACAUUUUUUUUAACCCGUCAAAAUUUGUAAUUUCACGCUAUUUUCUGCCUUCUUUUUAGUUCUGCAGUCUGCUACAAGUAGUAUACCAAUAACUAAUUUUUUCUACGUUAGUUUUACUCAUAUUGUUAAGAACGAUGUAAAUAAAAUAAUAAAAAGAGCCUAUCACAAGGGACGUUGGAACGUGUACGCAAAUGAAUAGUUAAUUGCAUGAAAAUUCUUAAUUAAACUCUUUGCAUUAAAUACUUUCACGUGACAUUUCUUUUCUAUAAGAAAAAUUUGAAUUGAUACUAAAUAAAUAAGGGUUUAGCGUGGAUAAUGAUUCUGAUGUAACUAUUUUCAUUCCUACAACUCAUAUGUUAUUUGCAAUUGUUUUUAAAAUGAUUUCGAAAGUUAAUAGAAAGUUGUAUACUUUUUUAUUUUAUUUUCUGAUUCGAAUUUCUACAAAAUUUGUUAAAGGAAUUAUCGUUUUUGCCGAAACUGAAAGGUUAAAAUAUAGCAUACAUAUCUGUAUUUAUCAUAUUUCUUAAUUAUUUUACUAUUACUUUAUAUUACAUUUCAAUGUUUGUAUUAGACAUCUUUAAAUUAAUUGUAAAAUGCUAUUACUGAAAUAUUCAUUGCUGUUCUGCAGACAUAUUCAAUUGUAAAAUGAAUAAAGCACGACUUGAUCUUGUCUAAUCUUUUUUUUCUCUA